rnacentral:rRNA from 1 species
GGCGGCGUGCUUAACACAUGCAAGUCGAACGAUGAAAGAGAAUCCGAUCUCUUCGGAGUGAAGAAUCUCUGGAUUAGUGGCGGACGGGUGAGUAACGCGUGAGCAAUCUGCCUUACACAAAGGGAUAGCCUCGGGAAACCGGGAUUAAUACCAUAUGAUAUCUAUUAACCGCAUGGUUUAUAGAUUAAAGAAUUUCGGUGUAAGAUGAGCUCGCGUCCCAUUAAUUAGUUGGUGAGGGUAACGGCCCACCAAGAUAGCGAUGGGUAGCCGAUCUAAGAGGAUGACCGGCCACAUUGGAACUGAGAAACGGUCCAAACUCCUACGGGAGGCAGCAGUGGGGAAUAUUGCACAAUGGGGGAAACCCUGAUGCAGCGACGCCGCGUGAGCGAUGAAGGCUUUCGAGUCGUAAAGCUCUGUCCUAUGGGAAGAUAAUGAC